rnacentral:rRNA from 1 species
UACAGAGGGUGCAAGCGUUAUUCGGAAUCACUGGGCUUAAAGGGUGCGUAGGCGGCGCGACAAGUUGGGUGUGAAAUCCCUCGGCUCAACCGAGGAACUGCGCCCAAAACUGUCGUGCUCGAGGGAGACAGAGGUGAGCGGAACUUAGGGUGGAGCGGUGAAAUGCGUUGAUAUCCUAAGGAACACCGGUGGCGAAAGCGGCUCACUGGGUCUCUUCUGACGCUGAGGCACGAAAGCUAGGGUAGCGAACGGG